GUGGGGAUAGGUGAGUUGGUAGAGGA
rnacentral:tRNA from 1 species